UAAGUAAUGACUAGCAAUUCUAUUCCAAUAGCCGUAUUUGAAGAGUCUUUGUGAUUAUAAGUUCUUUCUAUGGAAAUUACUCAGAUAUUUAGUUAUAUUUAAUAAUCUUUUCUACAUAUUACAUGCCAAGCAAUUUGGAUGUGGAUCUGGUAUAGAUAAAGUCACAAGUUACAAUCUGCUUUGAUGUGCAAAUCAAGCACCUAGAAUAUCAUAUAUUAUUAUCACAUAUGUGCAAGAAGAGGUAACAGGGAUGUUAGGAAUUUUUCGGUCCAGUGGAGUUACCAAUUUUCAACUUAUGUGGUUGUAUGCAUACUUAUGACUGAUAAUUCCAAAAAGGUAUGGGCCGAUUUAAAAUCCAAGACUAAGAAAAAAGGUCUGACCUUGUGGCAACAUGCCAGAGGGACUGGAGGUGGACCGGCUAGCCAGAAAUCCUUGUCGCAUUUGGAGGAAAGGGUUCUGGCUAUUAUCGGCCCAACAGCAGUGGAAGGACAAGACUAUACAAGAGCUUGGAUUUAGUAGACCUCAAUCUUCUGCACCUGCACCCUCUCAAUCAUCUGCAGUUGUUGCCCAAGAAGAUGAUCCAGUAUAUGUGGACUAUGGUGGUGGUGUGGUUAAAUAUUAAAAUAAGUAGAUAAGUAUAUUGAUAAGUUAAAAGACUGGAUACUUAUUAAAAUUGUUAUAUUAUUAUUAUUA